GUAAAAGUGACAUACUCCUUUAUCUUUCAUCAUCAUUUUAAGUAAAAAUGAUGAUGAAAGAUAAAGGAGUAUGUCACUUUUAC
rnacentral:pre_miRNA from 1 species